rnacentral:rRNA from 1 species
AUUAUUUAAGAGAGCUAAUGUUGUUAGUAAAUAAAAAUUAUGAAAGCAAAAAAUUAUGGCGGUAUUUUAAGCUUUUCAGAGGAAUUUGCUCUUUAAUGGAUAAAACACCUAAAUCUUACUUAAAUUUGUUAGUUCAAUUUGUAUACCACUAUAAAAACAAUUAAUAACUUUAAUUGUUAAAAUUUAUUAAAUUAAAUUAUGUUAAGUCAAGGUGCAGUAAAAAUUUAAGAAUGAAGUGAAUUACAUUUCUUUUCAGAGAAAAAAAAAUUAAAUCUAUAAAUAGGAUUUGAAAGUAAAAUUAAAAUAGAAUGCUAAUUUGAAUAAAGCUCUAAAAUAUGUAC